rnacentral:sRNA from 1 species
UGACAAAGUAUUCACAGCAGUGAUGGUUGAUUCUAUCAUCAAGAAUUGUUUCAAUCUCUCAUUCAAGUUCAUUAUCUUCUUCUAUGAUGGCAGAUUGCUCACAGGGAACAGAGGCAGGGCGGAGGCAGGGUGAUUGCUCACAGAGAGCAAAGAUCAAGACCUGAAGGCCAAUGAAUGCUGAGUUCACUGAGAAUCAGACACUCAUAACAACCACUCUGCUCUUGGCCAUCAUCACUAGAUGAUGUUACCAGGCUGCACCACGAGGAGGUGGCAGAGUCGGACUUCGCAGCCCAGAUGCUCAGUAGGGAACUCUGGGGGAGUAGGUUUAGAUAUUUCACUCAUUCUAUUGGGUCUUUCCUCACUAACAAGAUUCAGUACUUGAAGCUCUGUGGCAAGUCCUAGUAUCAUCUUGUACCAUAAGUUCCAGCUUUUGGAAGAAUUCAGAAAGAGUGUUGUCUUUGAUGAUGAAUUUUCUGCUGACAUCUUGGUCAUUGUAUAUAGAUAUAAAACCGAUAUAGAGUCGAACGGAUAAUCGAUAUAGAAUCGAAUGGAUAUAAUCGAUAUAGAAUCGAAUGAAUAUAAUCGAUAUAGUAUCGUACAGAUAUAACCGAUAUAUUACGCUGCUAUCUCUCGCCGAUAUGUAGGUCGAUGAGGAUCGGAUAGAUAUAGAUAUAGAUAUAGAUAUUGCCGCAAUCGUCGCCGAUAAGGAGGUCGGUAUGGAUAGAUAUCAAUAUAAUUAGAUAGAUAGCGAUAGGUAGCUAACCGGGCUCAUAACUGUCGGAACUGGAUAAGUCCGAAUAUUGAUCCAAAUACUGAAUAUCGAAUAAGUAAAUUGAAUUGUUUAUUAUAACUCCAAUAAUUACAUGAUAACCAGGCAGUAUUUAUAAGAAAGAGAAUGCUUGAACAUAUGAUGGGGGC